rnacentral:rRNA from 1 species
CAGUAGCCGCGGGAAUACGGAGGGGGCUAGCGUUGUUCGGAAUUACUGGGCGUAAAGCGCACGUAGGCGGCUUGGUAAGUUAGAGGUGAAAGCCCGGAGCUCAACUCCGGAAUUGCCUUUAAGACUGCCGAGCUAGUAGGUGAGAGAGGUAAGUGGAAUUCCGAGUGUAGAGGUGAAAUUCGUAGAUAUUCGGAAGAACACCAGUGGCGAAGGCGGCUUACUGGCUCAUUCUAGACGCUGAGGUGCGAAAGCGUGGGGAGCAGACAGGAUUAGAUACCCGAGUAGUCCCUGUCUCUUAUAC